GUAGGAAAAUGUUGAAAGGGUGUCUGCUGGACGGCCAGGACUCCAGCAACUUCCAGGUUACCAACCAUAUCCAUCAUGGAAAUGCUGAAUUUAGUCCAAGGUCAUUCCUGGGUAGAUGACCCCAUCUCAUGGAAUGAGAGAAGAGGUGGUAGGUGGCUCCAGCUAUCUGUUCUGUCUUUCCCCUUUCGCCCAGUCUACCACCCUUUACUGCUCCUUCUUUCCUUCUCAGACUGUAGCUCACCAGCAGCACCAGCAGCAGCCGCCGCCCUGGGAACUAGCCACCCCUUUCACAGUGCUGAGCAGGCACCCUCCGGACAACUGGGGAGAGACAGAGAAGCCUUCAAGGGGGAAAGGGCUACCUUCCCAAAGAGAGAGGAACAUGAAUUCUUGGCGGAGGGGUGGAGGGGUUGGGCUUAGGUAGAGUAGUGGGCUUGGAGACUGUAGGGAGUGCAGGAUAGAGGAGCUCCACUGUCCUUCCCUGGAUUGGCAUUCUAGAACUCCUGGACACCAGUCCGGACCAAGAAGAAGUGGAGAGAGAAUGUCAACUCCUUUCCUCUUCUCCCACCAGCUCUCAGGAUUUCUUUCCACCCACCUGCCACUGCCAUUCUGGAGAAUAACUAAUAGGGAAGGAAAAGAGACUUGGCUCAGGGCUCUAGUUCAAGCUGUUUGAUGCUGGGCCAGGCAUGCUAUACCUCUGUGCCUCAGGUUUCAUCAUCAAUAAAAUGGAACUGUCCUCCAACCUGGCAAAGCC
rnacentral:lncRNA from 1 species